rnacentral:rRNA from 1 species
GGGUCAGUAGGUUGGUCGUGCCACCGGUACGUACUGGUCUCACUGAUUCCUCCUUCCUGAAGAACCGUAAUGCCAUUAAUUUGGUGUUGCGGGGAAGCAGGACUGUUACUUUGAAAAAAUUAGAGUGUUUAGAGCAAGCUAACGCUUGAAUACAUUAGCAUGGAAUAAUGAAAUAGGACGAUCGAUCCUAUUUUGUUGGUUUCUAGGAUUGACGUA